rnacentral:rRNA from 1 species
CCUACGGGCUGCAGCAGUGGGGAAUAGUGGACAAUGGGCGAAAGCCUGAUCCAGCCAUGCCGCGUGUGUGAAGAAGGCCUUCGGGUUGUAAAGCACUUUCAGUGGGGAAGAAAGCCUUGGGGCUAAUACCCUCGAGGAAGGACAUCACCCACAGAAGAAGCACCGGCUAACUCCGUGCCAGCAGCCGCGGUAAUACGGAGGGUGCGAGCGUUAAUCGGAAUUACUGGGCGUAAAGCGCGCGUAGGCGGUCUGAUAAGCCGGUUGUGAAAGCCCCGGGCUCAACCUGGGAACGGCAUCCGGAACUGUCAGGCUAGAGUGCAGGAGAGGAAGGUAGAAUUCCCGGUGUAGCGGUGAAAUGCGUAGAGAUCGGGAGGAAUACCAGUGGCGAAGGCGGCCUUCUGGACUGACACUGACGCUGAGGUGCGAAAGCGUGGGUAGCAAACAGGAUUAGAUACCCUGGUAGUC